GGGGACGACAUUGGCUUCGACGUGGGUAACAAAACUUUAUGGUGCAUGCCGAGGAUAGCACUUACCUCGUAAAUACAGUUGCUAACUUAUAGUUGCUAACGAUAACAACUACGCGAUCGCUGCCU
rnacentral:tmRNA from 1 species